rnacentral:rRNA from 1 species
UUCGCAAUGCCCGAAAGGGUGACGAAGCGACGCCGCGUGGGUGAGGAAGGCCUUCGGGUUGUAAAGCCCUGUCAGGAGUUAAGAAAUGUAAGUGCGCUAAUAUCGCAUUUAUUUGACAAAGGCUCCAAAGGAAGCCACGGCUAACUCUGUGCCAGCAGCCGCGGUAAUACAGAGGUGGCAAGCGUUGUUCGGAAUUAUUGGGCGUAAAGAGCACGUAGGUGGGUUUGUAAGUCAGACGUGAAAGCCUUCUGUUCAACGGAAGAAUUGCAUCUGAAACUGCAAGUCUUGAGUGUAGGAGGGGAGAAUGGAACUUCUGGUGGAGCGGUGAAAUGCGUAGAUAUCAGAAGGAACGCCGGUGGCGAAAGCGAUUCUCUGGCCUAUUACUGACACUCAGUGUGCGAAAGCUAGGGGAGCAAACGGGAUUAGAUACCCCGGUAGUCCUAGCUGUAAACGAUGGGCACUAAGUAGAGGGGUUUU